rnacentral:rRNA from 1 species
UACGGAGGGGCUAGCGUUGUUCGGAAUUACUGGGCGUAAAGCGCACGUAGGCGGCUUUGUAAGUUAGAGGUGAAAGCCCGGGGCUCAACUCCGGAAUUGCCUUUAAGACUGCAUCGCUAGAAUUGUGGAGAGGUAAGUGGAAUUCCGAGUGUAGAGGUGAAAUUCGUAGAUAUUCGGAAGAACACCAGUGGCGAAGGCGACUUACUGGACACAUAUUGACGCUGAGGUGGCGAAAGCGUGGGGAGCAA